NNNAUGGAACGCGGGCACCGUGUCCCCACAGACGAUGGAAUGCGGGCACCGUGUCCCCAUCCCAGCCGAGGUUCAAACACACGUGGCAGGUUUUAUCCCAGCGUGGGACCCGUGGCACCUCAGGGUGCCCCCAAAGCCCCCAAAGCAGGGGAGGUGUCCCCCUCCCCGACACCCUUUGGCACUCCCCAUGGAGUCACUGCCCCGUUUGUUUUCCCACUCCUGCCCUCCCUCCAUCCCCCCGAGUGGAGCCGGGGUAUUCAGGGCUCGGCAGCCUGAACGAAGCCAGAUCCCUGGACGCAUUCCUGCGGUUGUUGCUUUUUUUCUUUUUUUUUUCCUCCCUUCCCUUUUUCUCUUUCUUCCCCCCUCCUCUUCUCCCUCGCUUGGCACAAGCUAAAGGAUUCAAAAGGAAGCCAGGCUUGGCAGACGCGGGGGGAGGAGGGAGUGGGGAGAUGAAAGAAGGCCUCUCUCCAGCUUUCUCUUCCAGUUCCCACACUCAGGCGGCGCGGAGAGUUCCUAAUGAUUCCCAGCCGCACCUGGAGGAGGAAGCGGGGCCUGUUUGUGCAGCCCCCAUCAUCCCACCCCUGCCACACGGGGUGGCCCCACAUCCUCCCCCAGCCAGGUCACCCUGGGUGACAAAGUGCCCGAGAUGGCGCUUUAGGACGUGGUGGAGUUGGCACCGAGGGAAAUCUCUGCACGGGCAGCUUGGUGGGCUUCAAACAGCUGUGACCCCGUGGAGGUCACGCCUGGGGUGGGUUUGGGGACAGCCCAGGGGUUGUGCCGAGGCAGAGGCACCUGAAGGUGGCACCUGGAGGGGGGUGAUGCAUGUUGGCCCUUGAAGGACACCAAGGAGGGGGACAUGGGCCACCAAGCCACCUCUGGUGGCACCACACAGCCCUCUCGUGGCACCUGCUCAGCACCACAGCUGUCCCUGUCCCCAUCCCCACGAGAAAUGUUCCCCUGGGCCAAACGCAUCCCCGUCAGGAUGGGUGUGAAUUCCAGCAAUGUCCACUCGAGCUCCAGUUCCCACCAAAAGUCAGUGCAGGUGGGAGCAGCCAAGUUUCCCUCAUAGUGAAAUCGGAGCAGAUUUUCCCUCGUUUAUCCUCCCUGGCAUCCGCAGCUUCUCCGGGCAACCGGUGCCAGGCCCUCACCACCCUCAGAGGGAAAGAUUUC
rnacentral:lncRNA from 1 species